CCUCAUGGGCGUUCCACAUGAUUACGACACAAGUUGUCCUGGAGACAUUUUCAACGCUUUAAGCAUUGAUCCCAAUAGACUUCAACUCGAUUCAUUUCUAUACGGAGUUGCACAUCAAUGUCAUUUGGCAUCCGAACGCUCACGACAAACAAGUAAAGCAAUUUCAAAUGAAGAAAUUAUAAAAGAAAUACAAGAUUUCAACACUGAAGAGGUUACCCUUACUAACACGCAUGUUCAAUGCAUUGCUGGAGCACUUCGUGCGUCAUUGGAAAUAUGGAGUCCCCAGUUUGAACUAUUCCAUAUCUAUUUUCCGUGUUUAUGCCAAGUUACGGACAACGGAGGAAUAGGCUACUUUAGUUUGACAGUUGGCAAAACUUUUCAAAAUAGUUAUGUAUUUAUGGAGCAAACAUCUGAAAAGAGACCGACUAGAAGAAAAAAGCCAGCAACUACAAUCAGGUCAAUAAAAAAUUGAAUGUCUCAUGUAAAUGUUUCUAUUGAAUAUGUGAAGAAAAUUCCUGACGAUAAUAGAAAACUAUAUCUUUGACAGGAAAGAAU